GUUGAACAAAGAGUCACGUGUCGGUCGUCCAGGUAACUGUGCACGAAGAACUGAUCCAUCGGGAAGGACUAGUUUCUUCAACAGGUCAAAGUUGUGGUUGCCUGGUUUGUCACUGUGAUAAAUUGUACAAAGUCGGUCAUUCCUAUUAUUAGCAUAUACUUACUGAAAGCAGACAAACACGCCAUGGACAUAAACUACCUGACAUAAAUUGCACAUCCGCCAAUUGCACGAGCAGCACCAUGAUACUCUGCUGUCGGAUGUAAACUCUAAAAAGCAAAGCAAAGAUCGGAUACGUUAGUUUAUGUGUAAGGGUUGAAUAGCUCACCUCCAUACUUUCUAGUUUCUCUUCUCCUAUGGCCAAACACACUAUUCAUGCGGUUGUUGUAUUCAUGUUUAGACAUGCCGGUUUGACAAAUACUAAUCCUCACUAAAAUGUAUUAUCUAUGGGAUGGGUUAUCUAUAUCGACAAUUCAUAUGGACUAACAAUAUCGACUUAGUUAAUGAAAUCAGAACAAAAGAGAGUGAACACAAGUGGAAAAAGUUUCUCACAUGGAACAUAUCCCAGUCAGGCUGCAUGAACUCUCCAAGGAAAAGAGAAUUGUAAGCCACAGAAGAAAUAUGAAUGGUGUGGGAGGCAGGAUCACGAGGGUAAUAAUCAUCAGAAGCUCUCACGACCGCAGUCUGUUUGGCGCUGUAGAGACUGUCGGUGUUGUGGCACAUACAAGCAAUGCAUCCAUUGUCAGAAAAGUUACGAGCAAUCGAAGCUUCAAGAGCCUGAUGGUAGCUACGAGUAAGUGUAACCCUGCCACCAUGACCAGCACCGAGGGUCUCAAUAAUGUUUUGCACAUCAACCUUCACGCCGUCAAUACCGCAGGAAGCCAAGUAGGAAUGGAGCUCGUUAUAAAAAUUAAAGACUUUCUUUGGAUGCACAAGGCCAAUGCCAUGAACAGCCAAGCUGUCUACAACUAUGUCU
rnacentral:lncRNA from 1 species